GAUUGGAAGGACCUUCUUAAAUAUUGGAGAUCUCCUGAAUUCGAAGCUCGCAGUUCUACAGCCAAAGAAAAUCGCGCCAAGUCAACCGUGCCUCAUACAGCUGGCAGCAAGAGUCAUGCCCGUGUUGCCCAAGAAAUGGCUGAUGAACUUGGGUAUGCCCCUCGGAGAGACGAAGUGUUCAUCAGAACACACACGCUCAAGAAAGGACCAAACAAAGGACAACACGUGCCAGAGGCAGCUCCAGUUAUUGUAUGUCUCUUUUGCCUU